rnacentral:misc_RNA from 1 species
GGAAUAUUGGACAAUGGGCGCAAGCCUGAUCCAGCAAUGCCGCGUGUGUGAAGAAGGUCUUCGGAUUGUAAAGCACUUUUGGCAGGGACGAUGAUGACGGUACCUGCAGAAUAAGCCCCGGCUAACUUCGUGCCAGCAGCCGCGGUAAUACGAAGGGGGCUAGCGUUGCUCGGAAUGACUGGGCGUAAAGGGCGCGUAGGCGGCAUGUACAGUCAGAAGUGAAAUUCCUGGGCUCAACCUGGGGACUGCUUUUGAUACGUGCAAGCUAGAGUGAGGAAGAGGGUAGUGGAAUUUCCAGUGUAGAGGUGAAAUUCGUAGAUAUUGGAAAGAACACCGGUGGCGAAGGCGGCAACCUGGUCCUUAACUGACGCUGAGGCGCGAAAGCGUGGGGAGCAAACAGGA